AGUGCGAGAGUAACUGCUCGCACCUUGACGGUACCUAACCAGAAAGCCACGGCUAACUACGUGCCAGCAGCCGCGGUAAUACGUAGGUGGCAAGCGUUGUCCGGAAUUAUUGGGCGUAAAGGGCUCGCAGGCGGUUUCUUAAGUCUGAUGUGAAAGCCCCCGGCUCAACCGGGGAGGGUCAUUGGAAACUGGGAAACUUAAGUGCAGAAGAGGAGAGUGGAAUUCCACGUGUAGCGGUGAAAUGCGUAGAGAUGUGGAGGAACACCAGUGGCGAAGGCCACUCUCUGGUCUGUAACUGACGCUGAGGAGCGAAAGCGUGGGG
rnacentral:rRNA from 1 species